GGCUCGAUAGCUCAGUUGGUAGAGCAGAGGACUNAAAAUCCUUGUGUCGGUGGUUCGAUNCCGCCUCGAGCCACAA
rnacentral:tRNA from 1 species